ACCAACAAUAGUCCGACAAUAGUUAUUAUAGUUAUUAGUGUAAUAGUAUUUCUUUUAAUUAACAAUUAGUAAACCAAUUAAUAUAGAUUUACAUGCAAUAGGUGAUAAAUGUAAAAAAAAAAAAUCAUGGGCUCGUCCGGGAUUUGAACCCGGGACCUCUCGCACCCAAAGCGAGAAUCAUAACCCUAGACCAACGAGCCGCGUGGCGGACUCCCAGACGCUAGAAGUAUUAUACUUUAUACAGCUGUAGUACUGCAUACCUGAGUAGUUGACGUAUUUGCUACUUCUAGACUAGAUUACUACAAUUGUUAUACGAGCCUCUCGGGUUGAUUCAAAAAGCUGCAGCUCGUGUUUUAGGAAACAUUCAGAAAGGGGAUCAUAAAAUGGUAUUUUGCUUCUCUGUACUUCUCUGCUCAAGAAUAUGAUUUAUGGUUCUCCUCCUCACCUACAAGGCACCGUCGUAUCUUAAGGAGCUUAUACCACCAUAUUACCUGCUCGAGAGCUGCGUUGGGUUACUAGUAGUUUCUAACAGUCUUUAAUAGUAGGAUGGGAGCAGAGCCUUCAGUUAUCAAGCUACGAUUUAGUGGAACCAGCUUCCACUUUCAGUCAGGUCAUUUAAGAUAAAGCUUAAGACUUCCCUCUUUAAUAUGGCCUAUAGUUAGGGCUGGCUCAGGUUGCCGUGGACCAGCCCUAAGAUAAGCUGCUAUAGGCUUAGACUGCUGGGGGACUUCUUAGGACACACCGAGCUCCUUUGUAUAAGAGUUUAGCCUCACAGGUUUCCAUGGAUCAUGUGUGUAUCUGGUCCGGCCUCCUGCCGUGGCCCUGCUGACACCUACCGCUUCUAACACCAUUAUUAGCUCCUUCACUAUUACUCUCAACAUUAAUGCACAUCCCUGACUUUGUUUGUUUCCUUCCUGAAGUCUUUGUGCUUGUCACAGAUUUCUGUAGAUGGUGGUUCUAUCUGAUGGUGUUUCUAUCUGAUGGUAGUUCUCACUGAUGGUAGUUCUAUCUGAUGGUGGUUCUAUCUGAUGGUAGUUCUAUCUGAUGGUGGUUCUAUGUGAUGGUGUUUCUAUCUGAUGGUGUUUCUAUCUGAUGGUAGUUCUCACUGAUGGUGUUUCUAUCUGAUGGUGUUUCUAUCUGAUGGUAGUUCUCACUGAUGGUAGUUCUAUCUGAUGGUGGUUCUAUGUGAUGGUGUUUCUAUCUGAUGGUGGUUCUAUCUGAUAGUAGUUAUAUCUGAUGGUGGUUCUAUCUGAUGGUGGUUCUAUGUGAUGGUGGUUCUAUCUGAUGGUGGUUCUAUGUGAUGGUAAUUCUAUCUGAUGGUGGUUCUAUCUGAUAGUAGUUCUAUCUGAUGGUGGUUCUAUCUGAUGGCGGUUCUAUCUGAUGGCGGUUCUAUGUGAUGGUGGUUCUAUCUGAUGGUGGUUCUAUCUGAUGGUGGUUCUAUGUGAUGGUGGUUCUAUCUGAUGGAGGUUCUAUCUGAUGGUGGUUCUGUGUGAUGGUGGUUCUAUCUGAUGGUGGUUCUAUGUGAUGGUGGUUCUAUCUGAUGGUGGUUCGGUGUGAUGGUGGUUCUAUGUGAUGGUGGUUUUAUCUGAUGGUGGAUGGUGGUUGUCCCUGCAGUGGUCCUGCUCCACACCUGGUCACUGCUCUCUAUUUGAAUCACUUCUGAGAGGAAUUGAACGUAUGGUUCAUCUUCUACGUUGUUCAUUCUGUACUCGUGACAUCAUUGCAUUCUGUCCAUCAGGAGACGGAUCCUUCUCUGAGGUUCUCACUGAGGUUUCUCAGUUUUUCUUCCUGCAGAAGGUUUCUUUCAUUUUGGGGCGUUUUGUCUGCUGAUGUGAGGGUUUUAGGACAGAGGAUGUUCCAUGUGUACAAAUGCUGUGAUUUUGGACUAUACAGAAUAUGAUGAAUUUAAAUGAUUUUAUUGGUCAUAUCUGUUGUUGGUACGUGUAAUUGCAUUGUUUGUUGGAUUUAUGCAAUACAUCAGUCUUCCUCUUAUUACUUUCUUUAGAGAUUUACUUUAAUAUACUUAUACGUUGUUCCUACAGAAACAUUUCUACGCAUGUUUAUGCAUUUGAAGGAGCUACAUUUGAAUCUACAACCCUGUGUUGCAUAAUGCUCAUGAAGCUGAAGACAAAUCCAAUUGUUAAAGGAAGCCUUCUGUUGCAUAGAGCAAAACUUCUCCAAGUCAAGUGGCAAACUUCCCAGUGCAGGUUGUCC
ensembl:lncRNA